UACGUAGGGUGCGAGCGUUGUCCGGAAUUAUUGGGCGUAAAGGGCUCGUAGGCGGUUUGUCGCGUCGGCUGUGAAAACUCGGGGCUCAACUCCGAGCUUGCAGUCGAUACGGGCAGGCUAGAGUUCGGCAGGGGAGACUGGAAUUCCUGGUGUAGCGGUGAAAUGCGCAGAUAUCAGGAGGAACACCGGUGGCGAAGGCGGGUCUCUGGGCUACUACUGACGCUGAGAAGCGAAAGCAUGGGGAGCGAACAGG
rnacentral:rRNA from 1 species